UACGGAGGAUGCAAGCGUUAUCCGGAAUUAUUGGGCGUAAAGCGUCCGCAGGUGGUUUAUCAAGUCUGCUGUCAAAGCGCGAGGCUUAACUUCGUAAAGGCAGUGGAAACUGAUAGACUGGAGUGCGGUAGGGGCAGAGGGAAUUCCCGGUGUAGUGGUGAAAUGCGUAGAUAUCGGGAGGAACACCAGUGGCGAAGGCGACUACCUGGCCUGUGCUUGACGCUGAGGCGCGAAAGCUAGGGGAGCAAACGGG
rnacentral:rRNA from 1 species